GUGCUCCCUCUGGCAACACAUAUACUAAAAGUGGAAUGAUGCAGAAAUUAGCAUGGUCUCUGCACAAGGAUGACAGGCAAAGUCAUGAAGUGUUCCAUAUUUAA